rnacentral:rRNA from 1 species
UACGGAGGUGGCAAGCGUUGUUCGGAAUUACUGGGCGUAAAGGGCGCGUAGGCGGCAUGGCAAGUCAGGUGUGAAAGCCCCGGGCUCAACUCGGGAACUGCAUCUGAAACUGCUGUGCUUGAGUCCUGGAGGGGGUAGUGGAAUUCCCAGUGUAGCGGUGAAAUGCGUAGAUAUUGGGAGGAACACCGGUGGCGAAGGCGGCUACCUGGACAGUGACUGACGCUGAGGCGCGAAAGCUAGGGGAGCAAACGGG